rnacentral:rRNA from 1 species
AACGUAGGAGGCGAGCGUUAUCCGGAUUUACUGGGUGUAAAGCGCGUGCAGGCGGUUUUCAAAGUGGUGCGUGAAAGCGCCCGGCUCAACCGGGCGAGGACGGGCCAAACUGGGAAACUGGAGGUAGGUAGAGGCGGGUGGAAUUCCGGGUGUAGUGGUGAAAUGCGUAGAGAUCCGGAGGAACACCAGAGGCGAAGGCGACCCGCUGGGCCUGACCUGACGCUCAGACGCGAAAGCAUGGGGAGCGAACGGG